rnacentral:rRNA from 1 species
GACGAACGCUGGCGGCGUGCUUAACACAUGCAAGUCGAACGAUGACGACCGAGCUUGCUCGGUCUGAUUAGUGGCGAACGGGUGAGUAACACGUGAGCAACCUACCCUUCACUCUGGGAUAACCUCGGGAAAUCGGGGCUAAUACCGGAUAUGAGCUCCUGUCGCAUGGCGGGUGUUGGAAAGUUUUUCGGUGAAGGAUGGGCUCGCGGCCUAUCAGUUUGUUGGUGAGGUAGUGGCUCACCAAGGCGAUGACGGGUAGCCGGCCUGAGAGGGCGACCGGCCACACUGGGACUGAGACACGGCCCAGACUCCUACGGGAGGCAGCAGUGGGGAAUAUUGCACAAUGGGCGAAAGCCUGAUGCAGCGACGCCGCGUGAGGGAUGACGGCCUUCGGGUUGUAAACCUCUUUCAGCAGGGAAGAAGCGAAAGUGACGGUACCUGCAGAAGAAGCGCCGGCUAACUACGUG